UACGGGGGGGGCAAGCGUUGUUCGGAAUUACUGGGCGUAAAGGGCUCGUAGGCGGCCAACUAAGUCAGACGUGAAAUCCCUCGGCUUAACCGGGGAACUGCAUCUGAUACUGGAUGGCUUGAGCACAGUAGAGGCAGGUGGAAUUCCCGGUGUAGCGGUGGAAUGCGUAGAGAUCGGGAAGAACAUCAGUGGCGAAGGCGGCCUGCUGGGCUGUUGCUGACGCUGAGGCGCGACAGCGUGGGGAGCAAACAGG
rnacentral:rRNA from 1 species